ACUCCUACGGGAGGCAGCAGUGGGGAAUAUUGCACAAUGGGCGGAAGCCUGAUGCAGCGACGCCGCGUGGGGAUGGACGGCCUCGGGCUUGUUAAACUCCUUUCGACCGCGAGGAAGCCACCUGGUUGGAAGGGUGGUGACGGUAGUGGUAGAAGAAGCACCGGCUAACUACGUGCCAGCAGCCGCGGUAAUACGUAGGGUGCGAGCGUUGUCCGGAUUUACUGGGCGUAAAGAGCUCGUAGGUGGCUUGUCGCGUCGUCUGUGAAAAGUCUGGGCGUUAACUCCGGUGUGCAGGCGAUACGGGCUGGCUUGAGUGCUGUAGGGAGG
rnacentral:rRNA from 1 species